UACGUAGGGUGCAAGCGUUGUCCGGAAUUAUUGGGCGUAAAGAGCUCGUAGGCGGUCUGUCGCGUCGGCUGUGAAAUCCCGAGGCUCAACCUCGGGUCUGCAGUCGAUACGGGCAAACUAGAGUAUUGGCAGGGGAGACUGGAAUUCCUGGUGUAGCGGUGAAAUGCGCAGAUAUCAGGAGGAACACCGGUGGCGAAGGCGGGUCUCUGGGCAAUAACUGACGCUGGAGGAGCGAAAGCGUGGGGAGCGAACAGG
rnacentral:rRNA from 1 species